rnacentral:rRNA from 1 species
AUUGAACGCUGGCGGAAUGCUUUACACAUGCAAGUCGAACGGCAGCACGGGGGCAGCCCUGGUGGCGAGUGGCGAACGGGUGAGUAAUACAUCGGAACGUGCCCGGUCGUGGGGGAUAACGUAGCGAAAGUUACGCUAAUACCGCAUACGAUCUGAGGUUGAAAGCGGGGGACCUUCGGGCCUCGCGCGAUCGGAGCGGCCGAUGUCAGAUUAGGUAGUUGGUGGGGUAAAGGCCUACCAAGCCGACGAUCUGUAGCUGGUCUGAGAGGACGACCAGCCACACUGGAACUGAGACACGGCCCAGACUCCUACGGGAGGCAGCAGUGGGGAAUGUUGGACAAUGGGCGCAAGCCUGAUCCAGCCAUUCCGCGUGCAGGACGAAGGCCUUCGGGUUGUAAACUGCUUUUGUACGGAACGAAAAGGCUCUGGCUAAUACCUGGGGCUCAUGACGGUACCGUAAGAAUAAGCACCGGCUAACUACGUG